rnacentral:rRNA from 1 species
GGGGAAUAUUGCACAAUGGGGGAAACCCUGAUGCAGCGACGCCGCGUGGAGGAAGAAGGUCUUCGGAUUGUAAACUCCUGUUGUUGAGGAAGAUAAUGACGGUACUCAACAAGGAAGUGACGGCUAACUACGUGCCAGCAGCCGCGGUAAAACGUAGGUCACAAGCGUUGUCCGGAAUUACUGGGUGUAAAGGGAGCGCAGGCGGGAAGGCAAGUUGGAAGUGAAAUCCAUGGGCUCAACCCAUGAACUGCUUUCAAAACUGUUUUUCUUGAGUAGUGCAGAGGUAGGCGGAAUUCCCGGUGUAGCGGUGGAAUGCGUAGAUAUCGGGAGGAACACCAGUGGCGAAGGCGGCCUACUGGGCACCAACUGACGCUGAGGCUCGAAAGUGUGGGUAGCAAACAGGAUUAGAUACCCUGGUAGUCCACACUGUAAACGAUGAUUACUAGGUGUUGGAGGAUUGACCCCUUCAGUGCCGCAGUUAACACAAUAAGUAAUCCACCUGGGGAGUACGACCGCAAGGUUGAAACUCAAAGGAAUUGACGGGGGCCCGCACAAGCAGUGGAGUAUGUGGUUUAAUUCGACGCAACGCGAAGAACCUUACCAAGUCUUGACAUCCUGCGACGCACAUAGAAAUAUGUGUUUCCUUCGGGACGCAGAGACAGGUGGUGCAUGGUUGUCGUCAGCUCGUGUCGUGAGAUGUUGGGUUAAGUCCCGCAACGAGCGCAACCCUUAUGGUCAGUUACUACGCAAGAGGACUCUGGCCAGACUGCCGUUGACAAAACGGAGGAAGGUGGGGAUGACGUCAAAUCAUCAUGCCCUUUAUGACUUGGGCUACACACGUACUACAAUGGCGUUAAACAAAGAGAAGCAAGACCGCGAGGUGGAGCAAAACUCAGAAACAACGUCCCAGUUCGGACUGCAGGCUGCAACUCGCCUGCACGAAGUCGGAAUUGCUAGUAAUCGCAGAUCAGCAUGCUGCGGUGAAUACGUUCCCG